UACGAGGGGGGCGAGCGUUGUUCGGAAUUAUUGGGCGUAAAGGGUGCGUAGGCGGCCUGACAAGUCUGAUGUGAAAUCCCUGGGCUCAACCCAGGGCCUGCAUCGGAAACUGUCGGGCUUGAGUAUGGGAGAAGGUGAGUGGAAUUUCCGGGUGUAGCGGUGAAAUGCGUAGAUAUCGGAAGGAACACCUGUGGCGAAAGCGGCUCACUGGACCAUUACUGACGCUGAGGCACGAAAGCUAGGGGAGCAAACGG
rnacentral:rRNA from 1 species